rnacentral:rRNA from 1 species
ACAGGGAUUGCCCUAGUAACGGCGAGUGAAGCGGCAACAGCUCAAAUUUGAAAUCUGGCUCUUUCAGAGUCCGAGUUGUAAUUUGCAGAGGGCGCUUUGGCGUUGGCAGCGGUCCAAGUUCUUUGGAACAGGACGUCACAGAGGGUGAGAAUCCCGUACGUGGUCGCUAGCCUUCGCCGUGUAAAGCCCCUUCGACGAGUCGAGUUGUUUGGGAAUGCAGCUCUAAAUGGGAGGUAAAUUUCUUCUAAAGCUAAAUACUGGCCAGAGACCGAUAGCGCACAAGUAGAGUGAUCGAAAGAUGAAAAGCACUUUGGAAAGAGAGUCAAAUAGCACGUGAAAUUGUUGAAAGGGAAGCGCUUGCAGCCAGACUUGCCUGUAGUUGCUUAUCCGGACUUUUGUCCGGUGCACUCUUCUGCGGGCAGGCCAGCAUCAGUUUGGGCGGUUGGAUAAAGGUCUCUGUCAUGUACCUCCUUUCGGGGAGGCCUUAUAGGGGAGACGACAUGCAACCAGCCUGGACUGAGGUCCGCGCAUCUGCUAGGAUGCUGGCGUAAUGGCUGUAAGCGGCCCGUCUUGAAACACGGACCAAGGAGUCUAACAUCUAUGCGAGUGUUUGGGUGUCAAGCCCAGACGCGUAAUGAAAGUGAACGGAGGUGGGAACCCUUUGGGUGCACCAUCGACCGAUCCUGAUGUCUUCGGAUGGAUUUGAGUAAGAGCAUGGCUGUUGGGACCCGAAAGAUGGUGAACUAUGCUUGAAUAGGGUGAAGCCAGAGGAAACUCUGGUGGAGGCUCGCAGCGGUUCU